AUGGUGGCCGCCUUCGCCGUCACUCCUUCGUCCUCCAUGUGCGUAGCCCCAAAUCAAAUCAAGUCAAGCUCCCCUCCCUACCUGUUUCUUGCUGAUUUUCUUCCUUUUCUUCGCAGAUGCGGCGUCUGCAUCCCGACGGCGUGCCGUCCGGAGGCGCGGGGCGUAGUGCCGGCGCCGAGGUUCUUCCACAGCCAGAACCAAGCGAACAGACGGUCUGCAACAGCUUGGUCCUUGAAGGCCGGCCUAUGGGACUCUCUCAAAUCUGGGUUUUUAAAAACUAGCAAUAGUACAGAGACAGUAGAGCCACUAUCCACAGCACUUGAAGAAGAAGAAAUUGUACCUGAGGAAUUAGUGCUCCUAGAAAGGACACUACCUGAUGGUAGCACAGAACAGAUCUUAUUUUCUUCAGCUGGUGAUAUUGAUGUAUAUGAUCUCCAGGCCUUAUGUGACAAGGUAGGAUGGCCACGCAGACCUCUGACAAAAAUAGCGGCAUCCUUAAGAAACAGCUACUUGGUCGCCACACUACAUUCAAUAACUAGGUCUUCGGAAACAGAGGGAGAAGAGAGGAAGCAACUGAUUGGUAUGGCGCGGGCAACUUCAGACCAUGCGUUCAAUGCUACAAUCUGGGACGUCCUUGUCGAUCCUUCCUAUCAGGGUCAAGGUCUUGGUAAAACACUCAUGGAGAAAGUGAUCCGCACUCUGCUCCAGAGGGACAUCAGCAACAUCACACUCUUUGCAGACAGUAAAGUGGUGGACUUCUACAAGAACAUGGGGUUCGAAGCCGACCCCCAGGGCAUCAAGGGCAUGUUCUGGUACCCCAGAGUUUAG
rnacentral:rRNA from 1 species